CAAUAGCGUAUAUUAAAGUUGUUGCAGUUAAAAAGCUCGUAGUUGGAUUUCUGUUCUCGGGGAUUGGUCCGCCUCACGGUGAGCACUGGUAUCCUGGGGACAUCCUCUCGAAGGCGGGUGGUGCACUUAAUUGUGUGCUGCUUGGAUUCGGGACCUUUACUUUGAAAAAAUUAGAGUGUUCAAAGCAGGCGUCGGCUUGAAUACAUUAGCAUGGAAUAAUGAUAUAGGACCUUGGUACUAUUUUGUUGGUUUGUGCACUGAGGUAAUGAUUAAGAGGGACAGUUGGGGGUAUUUGUAUUCCAUUGUCAGAGGUGAAAUUCUUGGAUUUUUGGAAGACAAACUACUGCGAAAGCAUUUACCAAGGAUGUUUUCAUUAAUCAAGAACGAAAGUUAGGGGAUCGAAGAUGAUCAGAUACCAU
rnacentral:rRNA from 1 species